UGCCAUGGUACGUUGAGAUCGUUGCUAC
rnacentral:sRNA from 1 species